rnacentral:rRNA from 1 species
UACAGAGGUCCCAAGCGUUGUUCGGAUUCACUGGGCGUAAAGGGUGCGUAGGUGGUGAGGUAAGUCGGAUGUGAAAUCUCGGAGCUCAACUCCGAAAUGGCAUUGGAAACUACCUUGCUCGAGGGUUGGAGGGGGGACUGGAAUUCUCGGUGUAGCAGUGAAAUGCGUAGAUAUCGAGAGGAACACCAGUGGCGAAGGCGAGUCCCUGGACAACUCCUGACACUGAGGCACGAAAGCUAGGGGAGCAAACAGG